rnacentral:rRNA from 1 species
GAUGAACGCUGGCGGCGUGCCUAAUACAUGCAAGUCGAGCGAACAGACGAGGAGCUUGCUCCUUUGACGUUAGCGGCGGACGGGUGAGUAACACGUAGGUAACCUACCUAUAAGACUGGGAUAACUUCGGGAAACCGGAGCUAAUACCGGAUAAUAUUUCGAACCGCAUGGUUCGAUAGUGAAAGAUGGCUUUGCUAUCACUUAUAGAUGGACCUGCGCCGUAUUAGCUAGUUGGUAAGGUAACGGCUUACCAAGGCAACGAUACGUAGCCGACCUGAGAGGGUGAUCGGCCACACUGGAACUGAGACACGGUCCAGACUCCUACGGGAGGCAGCAGUAGGGAAUCUUCCGCAAUGGGCGAAAGCCUGACGGAGCAACACCGCGUGAGUGAUGAAGGUCUUCGGAUCGUAAAACUCUGUUAUUAGGGAAGAACAAACGUGUAAGUAACUGUGCACGUCUUGACGGUACCUAAUCAGAAAGCCACGGCUAACUACGUG